rnacentral:tRNA from 1 species
GGAUGCUUAGCUCAGUUGGUAGAGCAACGCCCUUACAAGGCGUGGGUCAUAGGUUCGAGUCCUAUAGCAUCCA